GUGGGGAAUAUUGCACAAUGGGCGGAAGCCUGAUGCAGCGACGCCGCGUGAGGGAUGACGGCCUUCGGGUUGUAAACCUCUUUCAGCACCGACGAAGCGCAAGUGACGGUAGGUGCAGAAGAAGCGCCGGCCAACUACGUGCCAGCAGCCGCGGUAAGACGUAGGGCGCAAGCGUUGUCCGGAUUUAUUGGGCGUAAAGAGCUCGUAGGCGGCUUGUUGCGUCGUCCGUGAAAACCCGCGGCUCAACUGCGGGCUUGCGGACGAUACGGGCAGGCUGGAGUUCGGUAGGGGAGACUGGAAUUCCUGGUGUAGCGGUGAAAUGCGCAGAUAUCAGGAGGAACACCGGUGGCGAAGGCGGGUCUCUGGGCCGAUACUGACGCUGAGGAGCGAAAGCGUGGGGAGCGAACAGGAUUAGAAACCCGUGUAGUCC
rnacentral:rRNA from 1 species